rnacentral:rRNA from 1 species
AACGAACGCUGGCGGCGCGCCUAAUACAUGCAAGUCGAGCGAGAAGACGUAGCAAUACGUUUGUAAAGCGGCGAACGGGUGAGGAAUACAUGGGUAACCUACCCUCGAGUGGGGAAUAACUAGCCGAAAGGUUAGCUAAUACCGCGUACGCUCCUUGGACUUCGGUUCAGGGAGGAAAGCGAUACCGUGGGUAUCGCGCUCUUGGAUGGGCUCAUGUCCUAUCAGCUUGUUGGUGAGGUAACGGCUCACCAAGGCUUCGACGGGUAGCUGGUCUGAGAGGACGAUCAGCCACACUGGCACUGCGACACGGGCCAGACUCCUACGGGAGGCAGCAGUAAGGAAUAUUGCGCAAUGGGCGAAAGCCUGACGCAGCGACGCCGCGGUGGGGGAUGAA